UUUCUUGCUUGUUUUUCCUUCCAAACAUCACAAAAUGACUAAAAACACUAGGAUAUUAUGAAAUAUAGCAAAAUUCAUCACCAAAACUUCUCUCUCUAGGUUUGGCCAGCAAAGGUUCCCUCUUGAAAACUUGAAUUUCAGCCAUGGAGAAUGAAAAAGAAUGCAUGGGAAAGGUAGAUCACAAGCUAAAAUUAAAAAAUCUUACCUUUACUUACUUGAUUCCUUGAAAUCUAACAAUUUCUCUUGAAUUUUUCUUUCCUAGGGUUUGUUCUUCUCUUUUUCUCUUUGUUCCCUUGCUUGGCCG
rnacentral:lncRNA from 1 species